rnacentral:rRNA from 1 species
CUUGACUGUAUCUUGGAAUUGGGUUCGGGCUUUUCUUGCGCAGACUAGGUGGGAGACUAUGAAGCUGCCCUUGUGGGGGCAGUGGAGUCAUCAGUGAGAUUCCACUCUGUCAAGGCUAGAAUUCUAACCGUCUGCCGUUAUCCGGCGACGGAACAGUAUCAGGUGGGCAGUUUGACUGGGGCGGUCGCCUCCUAAAUGGUAACGGAGGCGCGCAAAGGUUCCCUCAGGCUGGUUGGAAAUCAGCCGAAGAGUGUAAAGGCAGAAGGGAGCUUGACUGCAAGAGCAACAACUCAAGCAGGGACGAAAGUCGGCCUUAGUGAUCCGACGGCGCUGAGUGGAAGGGCCGUCGCUCAACGGAUAAAAGUUA